GACGAACGCUGGCGGCGUGCUUAACACAUGCAAGACGAACGGAAAGGCCCUGCUUUUGUGGGGUGCUCGAGUGGCGAACGGGUGAGUAACACGUGAGUAACCUGCCCUUGACUUUGGGAUAACUUCAGGAAACUGGGGCUAAUACCGGAUAGGAGCUCCUGCUGCAUGGUGGGGGUUGGAAAGUUUCGGCGGUUGGGGAUGGACUCGCGGCUUAUCAGCUUGUUGGUGGGGUAGUGGCUUACCAAGGCUUUGACGGGUAGCCGGCCUGAGAGGGUGACCGGCCACAUUGGGACUGAGAUACGGCCCAGACUCCUACGGGAGGCAGCAGUGGGGAAUAUUGCACAAUGGGCGGAAGCCUGAUGCAGCAACGCCGCGUGCGGGAUGACGGCCUUCGGGUUGUAAACCGCUUUCGCCUGUGACGAAGCGUGAGUGACAGUAAUGGGUAAAGAAGCACCGGCUAACUACGUG
rnacentral:rRNA from 1 species